GUGUCAGCCGCCGCGGUAAUACGUAGGUGGCGAGCGUUGUCCGGAUUUACUGGGCGUAAAGAGCGCGCAGGCGGCUGGGCAAGUCCGAUGUGAAAGCUUCCGGCUUAACUGGAAAAUUGCAUCGGAAACUGCUCGGCUUGAAGGUGGGAGAGGGUAGCGGAAUUCCCGGUGUAGUGGUGAAAUGCGUAGAUAUCGGGAGGAACACCAGUGGCGAAGGCGGCUACCUGGCCCACUCUUGACGCUGAGGCGCGAAAGCUAGGGGAGCAAACGGGAUUAGAUACCCCCGUAGUCC
rnacentral:rRNA from 1 species